rnacentral:rRNA from 1 species
AUUGAACGCUGGCGGCAGGCCUAACACAUGCAAGUCGAACGGUAGCACAGAGAGCUUGCUCUCGGGUGACGAGUGGCGGACGGGUGAGUAACGUCUGGGAAACUGCCCGAUGGAGGGGGAUAACUACUGGAAACGGUAGCUAAUACCGCAUAACGUCGCAAGACCAAAGUGGGGGACCUUCGGGCCUCACACCAUCGGAUGUGCCCAGAUGGGAUUAGCUAGUAGGUGGGGUAAUGGCUCACCUAGGCGACGAUCCCUAGCUGGUCUGAGAGGAUGACCAGCCACACUGGAACUGAGACACGGUCCAGACUCCUACGGGAGGCAGCAGUGGGGAAUAUUGCACAAUGGGCGCAAGCCUGAUGCAGCCAUGCCGCGUGUAUGAAGAAGGCCUUCGGGUUGUAAAGUACUUUCAGCGGGGAGGAAGGCGGUGAAGUUAAUAACUUCACCGAUUGACGUUACCCGCAGAAGAAACACCGGCUAACUCUGUGCCAGCCGCCGCGGUAA